CACACUUUCCUGGUAGUAUCAUACUUCCUCAUUCCGUUGUCCACUGAGCACUCGCCUUUAUCAGGGUAUCCAACAAAUUCUUGAGGUUAUAGUCAAGAUGGCAGAUCACCAGUUGGAGAAUUUAAGGAGGAGAGUAGGCUCAAAUCCAAACUUAAAACAAAAUGGCCAGAUGCUGCAUGUUCACAGUCCGCUCGGUGGUUCUAAUGAGUGGGUCGUAUUGACCUAUAAUCUGCAGGUCAUAGGAGAUUACAUAAAGGAGAACUCGAAACUGCGUAAGAAGCUGGACCUUGUGGUCGAACAGUAUGUUAGCCAGCUAGAAAUUUAUGGGGGGAACAUGAAUCCUUACCCGGGUGAUCCCUCGGAAAACCCUGAUUUAUGGAAAAUAAUGAGUCGGAAGUUGGAAGCUUUAGAGCGAAGGGUCAAAAACCUGGAAGAACUCGCAGACGAAGCAUGACCUCGAUAUUGGCAAGUGCAAACUGGCGAAGGGAAGACGUUGUUCUGUACUGUGUCAAAGAUAACGUGUUCAGGGUGAUCCUCAUAAUAUAUUCAGGAAACUAUCCUUUUUUCUACUUCAGUUAGACAUGUGAGCUUGGCCUUAUCUGGAAGCCUAGGAUGUGUGGAUAAGUGAGGCCUUUUACCAUUUAGUCCGUUCAACUAAAGCGAACUUCUCGUCCUCUGUCCGCUUGAGGCUGGGGAAAUAUAUGUGUUUGUGUGAUCUUUACGUAUUCGUCUGAAUAAAAUCGUGUUCCUGCAA